ACUACUUUGGCAGACGUAAGUGUAACAGAUUUAGAAUCUGUAGAUAUGAUAAUGGUAUCAUAGGUAGUA
rnacentral:tRNA from 1 species